GCCCUGGCAGUCAGAGGCGAUGAAGGACGUGCUAAUCUGCGAAAAGCGUCGGUAAGGUGAUAUGAACCGUUAUAACCGGCGAUGUCCGAAUGGGGAAACCCAGUGCAAUUCGUUGCACUAUCGUUAACUGAAUACAUAGGUUAACGAGGCGAACCGGGGGAACUGAAACAUCUAAGUACCCCGAGGAAAAGAAAUCAACCGAGAUUCCCCCAGUAGCGGCGAGCGAACGGGGAGCAGCCCAGAGUCUGAAUCAGCUUGUGUG
rnacentral:rRNA from 1 species